rnacentral:rRNA from 1 species
GAAUGCUGACAUAAGUAACGAUAAAGCGGGUGAAAAGCCCGCUCGCCGGAAGACCAAGGGUUCCUGUCCAACGUUAAUCGGGGCAGGGUGAGUCGACCCCUAAGGCGAGGCCGAAAGGCGUAGUCGAUGGGAAACGGGUUAAUAUUCCCGUACUUGGUGUUACUGCGAAGGGGGGACGGAGAAGGCUAUGUUGGCCGGGCGACGGUUGUCCCGGUUUAAGCGUGUAGGUGUGUGUUCCAGGUAAAUCCGGUUCACUUUAACACUGAGGCGUGACGACGAGGCACUACGGUGCUGAAGCAACAAAUGCCCUGCUUCCAGGAAAAGCCUCUAAGCAUCAGGUAACAUCAAAUCGUACCCCAAACCGACACAGGUGGUCAGGUAGAGAAUACCAAGGCGCUUGAGAGAACUCGGGUGAAGGAACUAGGCAAAAUGGUGCCGUAACUUCGGGAGAAGGCACGCUGACACGUAGGUGAAGUGAUUUACUCAUGGAGCUGAAGUCAGUCGAAGAUACCAGCUGGCUGCAACUGUUUAUUAAAAACACAGCACUGUGCAAACACGAAAGUGGACGUAUACGGUGUGACGCCUGCCCGGUGCCGGAAGGUUAAUUGAUGGGGUCAGCGCAAGCGAAGCUCCUGAUCGAAGCCCCGGUAAACGGCGGCCGUAACUAUAACGGUCCUAAGGUAGCGAAAUUCCUUGUCGGGUAAGUUCCGACCUGCACGAAUGGCGUAAUGAUGGCCAGGCUGUCUCCACCCGAGACUCAGUGAAAUUGAACUCGCUGUGAAGAUGCAGUGUACCCGCGGCAAGACGGAAAGACCCCGUGAACCUUUACUAUAGCUUGACACUGAACAUUGAGCCUUGAUGUGUAGGAUAGGUGGGAGGCUUUGAAGUGUGGACGCCAGUCUGCAUGGAGCCGACCUUGAAAUACCACCCUUUAAUGUUUGAUGUUCUAACGUGGACCCGUUACCCGGGUUGCGGACAGUGUCUGGUGGGUAGUUUGACUGGGGCGGUCUCCUCCUAAAGAGUAACGGAGGAGCACGAAGGUUGGCUAAUCCUGGUCGGACAUCAGGAGGUUAGUGCAAUGGCAUAAGCCAGCUUGACUGCGAGCGUGACGGCGCGAGCAGGUGCGAAAGCAGGUCAUAGUGAUCCGGUGGUUCUGAAUGGAAGGGCCAUCGCUCAACGGAUAAAAGGUACUCCGGGGAUAACAGGCUGAUACCGCCCAAGAGUUCAUAUCGACGGCGGUGUUUGGCACCUCGAUGUCGGCUCAUCACAUCCUGGGGCUGAAGUAGGUCCCAAGGGUAUGGCUGUUCGCCAUUUAAAGUGGUACGCGAGCUGGGUUUAGAACGUCGUGAGACAGUUCGGUCCCUAUCUGCCGUGGGCGCUGGAGAACUGAGGGGGGCUGCUCCUAGUACGAGAGGACCGGAGUGGACGCAUCACUGGUGUUCGGGUUGUCAUGCCAAUGGCACUGCCCGGUAGCUAAAUGCGGAAGAGAUAAGUGCUGAAAGCAUCUAAGCACGAAACUUGCCCCGAGAUGAGUUCUCCCUGAGACUUAAAGUCUCCUGAAGGAACGUUGAAGACGACG